UACCUGUACUGGCAUUGGCUUUUCCAAGUGUCAAGAUUACAGGAAAAGAAGUUUUAUUAUUGAUGCAAGCCCUAAACACUCUUUCGACUCCAGAGGAGAAGCUGGCAGCUCUCUGUAAGAAAUAUGCUGAUCUUGGAACUUCAGCAAAAUUAAUGUCAAAAUAAGACAUUAAAGGAGGAACAUAUGCAGCAGAAAAAAGAGGAGGAAGAAGUUCUUAAAGAAGUAACUGCACAUUUCCAAAUUACUUUAACUGAAACUCAAGCCCAGCUGGAACAGCAUGAAAUACACAAUGCCAAACUGCAGCAGGAGAACAUGGAAAUGGGAGAAAAGCUAAAGAAGCUCACUGACCAGUAUGCACUGAGGGAAGAGGUAAACGGC
rnacentral:lncRNA from 1 species